rnacentral:rRNA from 1 species
GAGUUUGAUCCUGGCUCAGGACGAACGCUGGCGGCGCGCUUAACACAUGCAAGUCGAACGUGAAGCCCGGGCUUGCCCGGGUGGAAAGUGGCGAACGGGUGCGUAACACGUGAGCAACCUGCCCCGAAGACCGGGAUAACACCGGGAAACCGGUGCUAAUACCGGAUGCCCUCAUCAUGUCGCAUGGCGAGAUGAGGAAAUGGAUUCCGCUUCGGGAUGGGCUCGCGGCCUAUCAGCUUGUUGGUGAGGUAACGGCUCACCAAGGCAACGACGGGUAGCUGGUCUGAGAGGAUGUCCAGCCACACUGGGACUGAGACACGGCCCAGACUCCUACGGGAGGCAGCAGUGGGGAAUCUUGCACAAUGGGCGAAAGCCUGAUGCAGCGACGCCGCGUGCGGGAUGACGGCCUCGGUUGUAACCGC